GUGCGGGUCUCAAUAAUUGAACAGGCAUUUACAAUUAUUUAAUUUUUUUUAUUUCUAUUGCUUGCAAGCUCCUUUGGUACUUGUUAUACUGAAAGGCACUAUAGAAUAACAGCAAUAAAUAAAUGUGACAUGCAAUGAAAAGUCUUAGACAGGUAGCCUACUGAACCGAGUAGAUGGCAGAUAAUCCUCUUUGGCAGUAACCUCGUGGAAAAGGAGGAAAUGCUGCUUGGUGCAAACAUUACCAGAAGUAUCAGAAUGGAACUACAGUAUAAAAAUAGCCUUUUUAGGGCCUUAUGGAUUACUAUAUCAGCGACCAAUUCAUAUGAUUGAGGAUAGUAAAGUCCUCAGUCUGGCAAGAUUUUGUCUAAUGGAGUGGAACAAUAAAGAACUCAGCUUGGAAAAA